rnacentral:rRNA from 1 species
UACGUAGGGUGCAAGCGUUAAUCGGAAUUACUGGGCGUAAAGCGUGCGCAGGCGGUUAUGUAAGACAGGUGUGAAAUCCCCGGGCUUAACCUGGGAAUGGCAUUUGGGGACUGCAAGGCUUGAGUGCGGCAGAGGAGACUGGAAUUCCUGGUGUAGCAGUGAAAUGCGUAGAUAUCAGGAGGAAUACCGAUGGCGAAGGCAGGUCUCUGGGCUGACACUGACGCUCAUGCACGAAAGCGUGGGGAGCAAACAGG